GGCACUUCUUCAUGCUGCCUUGCGAAGAAGCUGGCUUGCUUCCUCUUUGUCUUCCGCCAUGAUUGUAGAUUUCCUGAGGCCUCCCAAGCUGUGCUGAACUACCAAACCAAUGCAGACCAAACCAAUGCAGAACUCCUAUGUGCUGAUGGUGGUCUUACAUUUCCCUAAGUUUCUGCCGACUAAACUGUGCACACGUUCUCAGGACCUCCUGAAGCUGCGUCACAGGCACUAAUCAAAGAACACAACCAAGAGUUUGGCCUUUUCUUCAGCACUGGGAAUUGUGAUCCAAAGCUUUUCCCGAUGAAGCACAAAGUUGGAGAAAAAAAAACGCAAACUAAACAACCACAAUGAAACAGAACAGAGUUAAUCUGCUGUAGCUCAAGAGAGGAUGUACCUGCCCCCACCCCGCAUCCCUGGGCUCGGGUUUGCCUUGCUGACCUCUGCUGCCACCUGGUGCCACACAGAGAAACUGAGGAGAAACCACAUCAGUCUCCUUCAGCCUCAGCUUCACAUCUGUGGGUCAAGUAACCCUUUCAGAAGCUGAAUAAUGUGGGAAAGCUUUCCUCUCAGGAAAAUGCACACAUCCAACUUUGAGAAGAUGCCCUUGGGGGCGCUUCAAGGAUUCUAGAUAAUAACCCCCUUUCCCGAACAUCCAAGAACCUAAGAUUUUUUUUUUUUUGAGAAAGUCUCGCUCUCUCUCCCAGUCUGGAGUGCAGUGGCGUGAUCUUGGCUCACUGCCAGCUCCACCUCCCAGGUUCACGCCAUUCUCCUGCUUCAGCCUCCCAAGUAGCUGGGGCUACAGGCACCUGCCACCAAACCCGGCUAAUUUUUUUGUAUUUUUAGUAGAGACGGGGUUUCACCGUGUUAGCCAGGAUCGUCUUGAUCUCCUGACCUUGUGAUCCACCCGCCUCGGCCUCCCAAAUUGCUGGGAUUACAGAUGUGAGCCACCGCACCUGGUCCAAGAACCCAAGUUUUAGAUCUAGAGUGAUGUCAGCAUGACAUUGAUUUCCUGAGGCCCAGGGGCGAAGGAGCUGAGGACAGCAGAGGGGUGAAGGAACUCAGCUACAGACAGCAGCAGCUGAUGCACAGGCCUCCCAGCGCCUGAAGUCACCCGGAAUUGGGAAGUGCUCAGAAGCUUACAAAGCUGCCUCGAGCAGAAGAAUCCCAGACUUCUUAGAGAACCCAGUGACUUUUUGCACCUUAAAUCUGUGAAAUCCUCAUGCUUUCUUCUGCCGUAUCCAUCGUUCAAACAAACAUGAGGCAAAGCUAGACACAUUCCUGAAGGAACCCAAGAAAUUCCUCUCUUUCUCUCUCUGGAAUGAAAUGAAUUCUCUAGACCACCAGUUCUAACCUUCAAAAACGAAACCUGUUUGUGAGAUCUCCUUCAAAUACUACUGUAGACCCCAGUGUUUAUUCAUUAAAUUUUUUAAACAUUUGUUUUAUUUGG
rnacentral:sRNA from 1 species